CGGCCUGUAGUUCAACGGUGAGAACACCCGUCUGAUGAGCGGAAGAUGCUGGUUCGAUUCCAGCUAGGCCGA
rnacentral:tRNA from 1 species